rnacentral:lncRNA from 10 species
CCCUCUCCACUGUGCCCCCUAGGCUUGGGUGCCGCCCCCCUAGCCACCCCAGCUCCUAGGAAUGAUUGGAAUUCCAGGAGUAUGAUCCUUAGGUGCCCUGGGCGGCUCAUCCCUGGGAGGUGGGCAGGGUGUGGGGGUGGCCUCUGCACCCUUUGAUCCCUUGUUGAGUCUGCCUUCCCUUGCCUGCUUGGGCCCCUAGACGAGCACUGCCCUCUCUAGCAAACCCAAGGGCAUCCUGCUUGGCACCUGUCCCCCUCCAAGGGUCCAAAGGCAAGGGCCCUACCAGCUGGCACCCCCUGCAGAGGCCCUCCUUCCUGCCGCAGGCAUAAACCUUUCUUUGCCCAGGCUGGCCUGGGACCCAAACAAUGGGGCUUCUGUCCCGCCAGGUCUGCCGUCACCUUUUACCUCCCUAUUGUGCAACGCCCUCUCUUCAACAGGUUGGGCCCAGGCCAGAGGUCUCUACCAGCAAAGAGGAUAAAAGAGACUACACCUGGACAAACCCUCCCAGGCCCAGGCCUGAGCCUCACAUGUGGCCCCGGGGAAGGCAUCAGGGACUCCCUUUGCCCUCCCACUGACCUCCCUGCAAACCUCCCCCAAACCAAGGGGCAUCCUCAGCUGGCCAGACCCUGGGGGAAGGGAGAGAGCCGAGGAUCACCGGCACCUGUGGCUGGGUUACCCCUGCCAUGGACCACUGGGUGGACGGGCCCCUCGGUAUUGGUAAAUGUCAUAUCCUCAGGGUAAGAGAUGAAAGCUGCUUUCUUUCAAAAGAGUUCGUGUCCAGAGUUCCUACUUUUAUGAUCAAGAAGUCAUUCCAAAAUGUGAAGCGUUCUGAAGAUAUGCACAUAGCGUAAGAACCUGGUGUAAUGUGCUGGUCAAGGCGGUCUCAGAGAGGAGAUGACGUUUGAGCUGACACCUGAGGGAUGAGAAGAAAGCAGCCAUUCCCAGGGCCCAGGGGAGGCAUCCCAGGAAGCCGGAUCAGCAUGAGCAAAAGCCCUGAGGCCUGGCACAAGUUGGUCUGCUUGAGAAGCAGGAGAGAGCCCUGAGCAUCCGGAGUGCAGCAAGCGAGAUGAGCAAGUCAAGAUGCAGAAGGACUCUCUGGCUUGUCCAAGGUCACACGGCUGUUAGGAGCAGAGCAGCGUCCUGGUGCCCAAGCCCUGAGGUCCCCAGCACACUGCCUCUGCAAUGGCCACAACUGUCCAAAGACUAAGCUGACUCUCACACCUGGUAGUGUCUGUGGUCAUUCACUGUGGAUGGAAGUGGAGAAAUGCAGAAAACAGAAACACAGCUUCCCCUUUUCUGUCAUAUUUCUGUAUCGUUGGUGUUUGGAGCCAGUUGAGCACAAAGGGCCCCUGAGUGCUGUUUCCUUGUGAUAUUUGGGGGUUAACAGCUUCCCCUCAUCUCUUAAUUACCUGCCCUCCUUCACUUCAGCUGCACAUUCGUUAAAGAAUGCUCUCCCAGGAGAAGAGCUUGGUGUUAUCACCCACAAACAUCUUAGAAAACUAAUGCUAUCCUUGAGUGCCUGUUUACAGAAACAUUUUUACAUCUCACUUGACAUUUCCAGCAAAUCUUGAUCCUUCCAGCCAGGAAUAUUAAUAUAUAGGUCUUGAAAAGUGCAAGAGGCUCUUCCAUGGCUCCAAGCACAUUUGACACUCUUCCUUUUCUGAUCCCCAAGCAGACAGUGAUGAAACCCCAAUAGCUGGGCGAAUACUCAUCCAACAGGAAGAAUCAGUUUUAAGAGCUGGGUUCUCAGGGUCAAAUACUGUGGUGUGGCCUUUUGGUUGUAAUGAGUUGAAUGGAGGUCUCAAAAAAGAUAUAUCCAUGUUCUAAUCCCCAGAACUUGUGAAUGUGACCUUAUUUGGAAAAAGAGUCCUUUUGGAUGUAAUUAAGUUAAGGAUUUUGAGAUAAGGAGAUCAUCCUGGGUUAUCUGGGUGGACCCUAAAUCUGUUGACAAUGUCCUUAUGAGAGACCCCAGAGGGCACAGACAGGAAAGGAAGAGGCAAUGUGGCCCCAGAGGCUGAGAUCAGAGCUCUGUGGCCACAAUUCGAGGAACACCUGGAGCCACCAGAAGCUGGAGGAGGCAAGGAACAGAUUCUCCCUGAUCCUCUGGAUACAGAGGGAGAAUAGCCUGGCCGACACCUUGAUUUUGGACUUCUGGCCCCCAGAACUGAGAAAAUUAACUUCUGUUGUGUUAAGCAGCCACGUUUGUAGCAGUUCAUCAUAGCAGCCCUGGGAAAGAAAUACAGUGGGCUUCCAGUUCAAGGAGGAUCCACGAGGCCUGAGCUCCAUCUGUCGAUUGGAAUCACCAAAAUCAAGGUUGUGUGCGGGUAACGCCAGCACAAGCAGCUCAUGCUGGCAAAAGCAGACCAAACCGGCUCACGCAACGUCAAGUCAUCUUGAAGUGGUUCACGCACCACAGUGAGUGGUAUUGAUUGUGGUUAAGAGCCAGGUUCAAGGAGGUUUAUCACUCAGUAGCCAGGUAAAGCAGGUUCCAGGCCUGGCUCCACCACUCAACAACCGGGGAAACAGGGGUAAGCUUCUUAAAUGCUCCGUGUCUCAGUUUCUCCAUGUGUAAAAUGAGGGCACUAAUAACAGUCCCUACCUGCAAGGUGGUUGUGAAGAUGAUAUGAAUUCAUAUAUGUAAGGCACUUGGAAUUGACAAUACUGACAUACCACAAAUACAAAAUAAGUGUCUGCCAUUAUUAAGCUAACCCAAAUCAAAACAGACACAGAUGAAUUCAGAAUACUCAAGUAGACUCAGAUAUGUUCAAAUGGAGCCCACCAGUUAAAACUAGCUGAGACCAGUGUAAACUGGCUCAAGCCUUUUGGGCCAAGCUGUACUAAAACCAGAUUAAAUCAGUCAAAACAGGAUUAGAAUAGUCAGUCUGGAAUCUCUACACGCACGCCUGCACAUUUGAGGGGUCUCUCUCCGCCCCCUCUGUACAUCAGAUUGAAUAGUAACAAACAGUCCCACAUCUCCCAAGAAUGAGCAUAAUGGACAAGCAGAGGGCCGCCAAUGUCCCCACCAGAACGAGCAUAAUGGACAGGCAGGGGGCCGCCGAUGUCCCCACCUAAGACAUGCAGACAUUUCCCUGUCGGAAACGCGCUCAGAUUCUUUACGGCAGGUCAAGGCUCAAAUAUCAGAAACCAAUUUCACUCACACUAACUAAACAAGAGACGGGAUCUGUGGUUCAGGAUCCUGAGGCACUCGUGAAACUCAUGGGUAGGAAGGUCAGCUGGAGCCAGUUAGUGUCUGGAAGGCUAUCAGAGCUCAAGGCCCCUCUCUCUGGCCCAUGGAGGGGAAUUAACUCCCUCAAAGGCAGGAGCUCAGUGAGCAGGAGGCUGGUAGGGAGGUGGGAGCUGCAGGUGACCGGUUAGAAGUCAGAGGCUGUUGUGGGGGGCAGCUUGCACCAGUGGACACAAGAGCCCCAACUUGUGGGCACUUGGAAGUCCCAGGCUGUUCCCUGGCUCCACCCCGUCCUCUGGGGUGCCUGCUUCACAGAGCACCAAUAAUGCGUUUGUGUCACUCUAUGUUUCCUGGCAGGAGCAGACCUGCAGAGGGGCCAGAAGACACCUGGCCGGGUGGGGAGCAGCCCCUCCGUAAUAACAAUCGGAACCUGGGAAGAUAAGUAGAGUCCCAGGGGAGGGACAGAGUUUCCCCUGUGUCACCACAUGGCUACUUUGACACAAAUGCACGUGGGCAGAGAGAGGCAUGCAGGUCAAGGGCCUGGCAGGGAGUCAGGGGCCCUCAGUGCCAGUCCUGGCUCUGCCUCUGCCUCUGACACGCCAUGUGACCUUGAGCAAGUCACCACCCUGUCUGGGCUUCGCUAACCCAUAUACGGAAUGAGAAGGCGGCAAAACUGAAUCCCAGAGAGAAGACUCACUCAGACACAGCUAUCUGAACACUCUUUUCCAGUUCCCCUAGGGCAGCAGAGGAAGCAAGGUGGGGGGAAGCCAGUGGUCAAGGAUUCCAUGCGGAAUGUACCCUAGAAUUAACCCAUGGAGAGAGGGUAAGGGAACGGGCUCAGGCCUGGGAAGAAGUGGGGAGGACAGUGUCCUGUUGACCUAUUCAAAAACAUCCAGUUUUAGUUAAUUUUUAGUUCAUUAGUCACCACUUUUUAUUAGUAUCUCAUGUAUUCUUUCACAGUUUCUUUCUGCAGGUACAAAAAUAAUGAUUUUUUUUCUUUCUUUUUCUUCUUUGAGACAGGGUCUCGCUCUGUUGCCCAGGCUGUAGUACAAUGGUGCAAUCUCGGCUCACUGCAACCUCUGCCUCUGGGUUCAAGCGAUCCUUUGCCUCCGCCUCCUGAGUAGCUGGAAUUACAGGCAUGCACCAUGAUGCUUGGUUAAUUUUUGUAUUUUUAGUAGAGUCAGGGUUUUGCUAUGUUGGCCAGGCUGGGCUCCAACUUCUGGUCUCAAGUGAUCCACCCGCCUCGGGCUCCCAAAGUGCCAGGAUUACAGGCGUGAGCCACUAUGCCUGGCCAAAAGUGGCGAUGUGUUCUUAAUGCCCAUUUUCACAUAAAAGGUAAUAAUCUACCCACACCAUGCUGUACCUUGUUUGUUUUUUGUGUGUUUGUUUGUUUGUUUUUUGACAGAGUCUUGCUCUGUCAGCUAGGCUAGAGUGCAGUGGCACAAUCUCAGCGCGCUGCAACCUCCGCCUCCCGGGUUCAAGCGAUUAUCCUGCCUCAGCCUGCUGGGUAGUUGGAAUUACAGGAGCCUGCCACCAUGCCCAGCUAAUUUUUGUGCUUUUAAUAGAGAUGGGGUUUCACCAUGUUGGCCAGGCUGGUCUCGAACUCCUGACCUCAAGUGAUCCAUCCACCUUGGCCUCCCGAAGUGCUGGGAUUACAGGCGUGACCCACCGCGCCUGGCUCUUGUUUGUUUUUUUAACUAAUCACACAUCUUAGAGACCUUUAUCAGUAAUUAGAGAGCUUCCUGGAUCUUUUAUAUCACUGCAUAAUAAAUAUUCUAUUAUAUAGAUUAGAAUAAUUCAAAUUACCAGUUCCCUAUUGGUGGACAUUUGUUUCUGGUUUGUUUGUUUUUUCUAUUUUUUUUCUUAUCACAAACAGUGCUGCAAUAAGUAAUUGUGCAUAUGCACUGUUUCACAUGUGUGCAGGUAUACCUGCAGGAUAAAUUCCCAAAAAUGAAUUCCUGAUUUAAGAGUAUCUUUUUUUUUUUGAGACAGGGUCUUGAUCUGUUGCCCAGGCUAAAGUGCAGUGGCAUGAUCACGAUGCACUGCAGCCUCAGCCUCCUGGGCUCAAGCGAUCUUCCCACCUCAGCUUCCCAAGUAGCUGGGACUACAGGCAUGUGGCACCACGGCUGGUUAAUAUUCUCAGUGUAACAGAGUUUCAUCACAUUGCCCAGGCUGGUCUUGAACUCCUGGGCUCAAGCAAUCCUCCCACCUCAGCAUCCCAAAGUGCUGGGAUCACAGGCAUGUGCCACCAUGCCUGGCAGGUUGAAAGUACUGUAUGAGUUAUCUAUUGCUGCAUACCAGAUUAUCAUAAACUCAGCAGUUUAAAAAAACACCCAUUGUUUAGCUCACAGUCUCACCUGAACUGGGUGCUGAGUUCAGGGUGAAACCAAGGUGGCGGCCAGGCUUGGUUCUUUUUUGGAAGCUCUGGGGGGAAAAUCUACUUCCAAGGCCAUUCUUGUUGUUGGCAGAAUCUGGAUCCUUGUGGUUGUAGAACUGAGUCUCUGGUUUCUUGCAGGCUUCCAGGAGGGGCCUCCCUGGGCUCCCGGAGGACACCCACAGUCCUCACCAUGCAGCUCCCUCCAACAUCAAGCCAGGAAUGGCCGAACAGAUCUUUCUCAUGCUUCAAAUCUCUGAUGAAUUUCUCUUGCCAGAGAAAGCUUGCCAUUUUCCAAGGGCUCACCCAGUCAGAUCCGUCCAACAAGGGUGAUCUCCCUAACAUUAGGUUAACUGACUUGGAACCUCAGUUAAUCUGCAAAAUCCCUUUUGUCAUAUAAUGGAAUACAAUCAUUUGGUUCACAUGCUCAUCUUAUUCACAGGCCCUACACUCAUACAAGGGCAGGGGACCACAGAAGAGUGAAGGCCAGUGAGGGUCACCUCAGAAUUCUGCCCAACACCGGUGUUUUGUAAUUUGGGUAGAUGUUGCCAUGUUGUCCUCCGUGGGGAUUAUGCAGAGGGAACUCUCCUCCUCCAGCAACAGUACAUGUACCUGCUUUUCCAUGGUGCUGCUUAGAGAAUGUUAUCAAACCUUUGGAUUUCUGCCAGUCUGAUAGGAGAAAAAUGGAAUCUCAAUUGUAUUUUAAAAUUGUAAUUAUCGCCUUAUGAAUAAGGCUGAGCAUUUCCUCAAAAGCAUAAGAGCCAUUUAUAUACUUUUUUCUUUAUGGCUUCUGGUUUUGAGGCAUAGAAAGGUCUUUCUAGCUCUAAAGUUAAUCAGAAAUUCUCUGUUUUCUUUUUGCUUUUUUUAAAAUUUUACUUUAAGUCCUUGGAUACAUGUGCUGAACGUGCAGGUUUGUUACAUAGGUAUACAUGGGCCAUGGUGGUUUGCUGCACCUAUCAACCCGUCAUCUAGGUUUUAAGCUCCACAUGCAUUAGGUAUUUGUCCUAAUGCUCUUCCUCCUCUUUCCCCAUGCCCCCAACAGGCCCCGGUGUGUGAUGUUCCCCUCCCUGUGUCCAUGUGUUCUCAUUGUUUAGCUCCCACUUAUGAGUGAGAACAUGCAGUGUUUGGUUUUCUGUUCCUGUGUUAGUUUGCUGAGGAUGAUGGUUUUCAGCUUCAUCCAGGUCCCUGCAAAGGACAUGAACUCAUUCUUUUUUAUGGCUGCAUAGUAUUCCAAGUUGCAUAUGUGCCACAUUUUCUUUAUCCAGUGUAUCAUUGAUGGGCUUUUGGGUUGCUUCCAAGUCUUUGCUAUCGUAAGUAGUGCUGCAAUAAACAAAUGUAUGCAUGUGUCUUUAUAGUAGAAUGAUUUAUAAUCCUUUGGGUAUAUACCCAGUAAUGGGAUUGCUGGGUCAAAUGGUAUUUCUAGUUCUAGAUCCUCGAGGAGUCGCCACACUGUCUUCCACAAUGGUUGAGCUAAUUUACACUCCCACCAACAGUGUAAACGUGUUCCUAUUUCUCCACAUCCUCACCAGCAUUUGUUAUUUCCAGACUUUUUAAUGAUUGCCAUUCUAACUGGCAUGAGAUGGUAUCUCCUUGUGGUUUUGAUUUGCAUUUCUCAGCUCAUUGCAACCUCUGCCUCCCAGGUUCAAGCAAUUCUCCUGCCUCAGCCUCCAGAGUAGCUGGGAUUACAGGGGCACGCCACCAAGCCCAGCUAAUUUUUGUAUUUUUAGCAGAAACAGGGCUUCACCAUGUUGGCCAGUCUGGUCUCAAACUCCUGAUCUCAAGUGAUCCAUCCACCUCAGCCUCCCAAAGUGCUGGGAUUAUAGGCGUGAGCCACCACGGCUGGCCAUUCUCCUGUGUUUUCUUCUGGGGCUUUUAUACUUUCAUUUUUUAAAAUCCAUAGUUUCUUGGAGCUGGAGGUGUCCCUUGUCAUUUUCUCAUCAGUGAGUGCAAAGCAGGAUCCCAAAAGGAUUGGAGUCCAGAGUAGAGAAAGGAGCUGCCGCGGUGGAGUCUGUUCAGUGCAGGCUCUGAUCUCCUUCAGCCCUGCCAGGAAUCCCAGCCAGCAGAUCUUCUUCCAGCUUCCCUUUCUCCAGCACUCUUGAUCUUCUGGGCUGGCACAGGGUCCAGGGUUGAUGGGGAUCCUAGCUGCCUGAGGAGCUUCCAGUCUGGAGGGUGAUACAAGCACAUGGCCAGACCUGAAUUCAAGCCAUGAGAGAGAUUCAGAACCUGGGCUGGGAGCGCAGGGGAGGGAGCGGGGUGCUGAUGGGGGUGGAUGGGAGGCUCCAGAGAGGAGGUGGCGUCUGAACUGAACCUUAAGAAUGAGGGGAAAUGUAAUGGCAGCGAUGAGAAAGGGGAGGCACUUCAGUGCAGAGAACAGCAAGAGCAAAGACAAGGAGGUGGAAAAUCAGCCAGAAACCUAGCCUGGAGAGGGUUUAGUGGACCAUGGGUCCUUGAUGGUAGAGACACAACAUGACUUAUCUCUGUGUCCCAUCCUCUGUGCCAGAGGCGGCAUCGACCAGACUUGGACAAAUGAAGCAGAAGGGACAGGGGACUUAGAAUACUAGGCUGCAUCAUUUUCUUUUUACUCUGACAGUGAGAAGCAAAGACCUCCACAAAGAAAGAAGCCCUUGGCUGUGUCAUCAUUUUAGAAUCUGGGCACUCUCUGCACACCACUGCCCCCUCAUGGCUGAUCUAGGAAUUCUCUCUAAAUCCCAGACUGAAGGUGAGGAGGAGGCUCAGUGAGUCUUAGAGAUUUGAAAAGCCGUGAAAUCCUGGUUGGAGAACAUCUGAGUCCAAAGGGCCCUCAGAGACUCUCUGACUUCCUCAUUA